AUACGUAGGGUGCAAGCGUUAAUCGGAAAACUGGGCGUAAAGCGUGCGCAGGCGGUUUUGUAAGACAGUGGUGAAAUCCCCGGGCUCAACCUGGGAACUGCCAUUGUGACUGCAAGGCUGGAGUGCGGCAGAGGGGGAUGGGAUUCCGCGUGUAGCAGGGAAAUGCGUAGAUAUGCGGAGGAACACCGAUGGCGAAGGCAAUCCCCUGGGCCUGCACUGACGCUCAUGCACGAAAGCGUGGGGAGCAAACAGGAUUAGAUACCCUGGUAGUCCACGCCCUAAACGAUGUCAACUGGUUGUUGGGGAUUUAUUUUCUCAGUAACGAAGCUAACGCGUGAAGUUGACCGCCUGGGGAGUACGGCCGCAAGGUUAAAACUCAAAUGAAUUGACGGGG
rnacentral:rRNA from 1 species